GCCGGGAUGGCGGAAUCGGUAGACGCAGCGGAUUCAAAAUCCGCCGCCGAAAGGCGUAAGGGUUCGAGUCCCUUUCCCGGCACCA
rnacentral:tRNA from 2 species